rnacentral:lncRNA from 1 species
UCUCUCCCCCCCCCCCACGGCUUUACCCUCCCCUACGCCUACGUCAACCACCCACACAUAACACCCUCCCUCCGAGACCUUUGAGAUCGCCCUACACUCUCUCUCUAGUAAAGCCUUCAAUAGUAAAGCAGACCCUUCCAAUUGAAGGGUUCAAUUGAGCAUGCCGACUUCAAGAGGCCUUAAUUUUAUGCCCAUUUGCACAAAUUAAUGUUCCACAUGUUCAAUGAAUAUACACUUAAGAAGUUCCAAGUGGACUGCCAAAUGGAUCAUUUGAUAUUUAAUUGGUGAUAAAUACUACACAAUCUAUCAUUAUUUCAAGUUAGAAGCUGAAUUUAUAGGGCUUUCUGCAGCCACUUUCUUUUUCCUCAUCAUACCCAUACUUCCUGGUUCUGGGAAUAGAAGGCUUUUAUGGACAAAUUCGUUGAGGACAAAGAUCGAACAGGUGAUAGGCGCCAAAAGAUUGUAACACAUCGGACAAACAAGUUAAAUUUGUAAUUUCUUGAAAAUUUUGGAGGUGAUUUUGAGGAAAAACUCAGUGAGGACAAAGAUCGAACAAGUGGCAGGCGCAAGAAGAUUGAGAUACUUACGAGGAUUCUGGCGGGGAGGGUAAAACCGGGUCACAGUGAGAGAGAGAGAGUGUGUGUAAGGUGACCUCAAAGGUCUCGGAUGGAGGGUAUUGCGUAGGGGGGGAAGAGACGUAUGAGUGGGGGGAGGGUAAAGCCGUG